rnacentral:rRNA from 1 species
GUAAGGAAUAUUGGGCAAUGGACGCAAGUCUGACCCAGCCAUGCCGCGUGGAGGAUGAAGGUCCUCUGGAUUGUAAACUUCUUUUAUUUGGGAAGAAAUUCUCGCAUUCCUGCGGGAUUGACGGUACCAGAUGAAUAAGCACCGGCUAACUCCGUGCCAGCAGCCGCGGUAAUACGGAGGGUGCAAGCGUUAUCCGGAUUCACUGGGUCUAAAGGGUGCGUAGGCGGACAAGUAAGUCAGUGGUGAAAUCUCCGGGCUUAACCCGGAAACUGCCAUUGAUACUAUUUGUCUUGAAUACCCUGGAGGUGAGCGGAAUAUGUCAUGUAGCGGUGAAAUGCUUAGAUAUGACAUAGAACACCCAUUGCGAAGGCAGCUCACUACGGGAAUAUUGACGCUGAGGCACGAAAGCGUGGGGAUCAAACAGGAUUAGAAACCCUUGUAGUCC